UAAUAAAGUUCUAACGAUCAGCUAAUGGUUGGGUUUCCACAGCUUGGGGAGUAUUUGAUUUUCAAAGUCUUUGGGAGGGGAGGCAGUGUAUCAAUGGAGUAUGUUGUUCACAUCAGCCCAUUCUUUGCAAAGCAGCGUCUCCCAUCUCCUGCCUUAAUUCUCUCAAAAGGUGUUGUACCUGUCAGCUCUCCAGUGCCCAGUCAUGUCAGGGCAGGAAAGUGCACCAGGAGGCCCAGAAUGAUUUUCACUAACCUUCCCAGGCUGGCCUUGAACUUGCAAUUCUCCUGCCUCAGCUUCCCAAGCAGCUGGGAUUAUAGCUGUGUGGGACCAUAACUGACAAGGAUGGACUUUGUUUUUAAGAACAGGUUGGAGAUAGCAGAAUAAAGGACUGUGGUUGACUGAAAUCGUGGAAAGUGAAACUGCAGAUAAGGGAGGACUAUUGUACUAGGAUCUGUACAUGUCAUUGUGAAAUAACAAAAACAACAAUAAUAACAACAACGACGAUGAGGAUGAUGAUGAUGAUGAUCAUGAUGAUCAUGAUGACGACGAUGAAUAGAAUGAAACUCACAAAGGCAACACUGAUCUCUAAAGGCUGAAGCAUACCUUAGGUAUGGUGGUACACAUUUGUAAUCUCAGCACUCUGAGAGCCUGAGGCAGGAAGAUCACAAGUUUGAGUCUGGGCAACUUAUUCACUUAAUGAGACCCUGUCGAAGAAGAAGGAGAAGGAGAAGGAGAAGGAGAAGGAGAAGGAGAAGGAGAAGGAGAAGGAGAAGGAGAAGGAGAAGGAGAAGAAGAGGCUAGAGACAUAAAUUGGUGUGAAGGCCUUGUGUUUAAUCCCCAGUGCUGGGAGCGGAGGGAAGAUACAGCUCUACAUUUUUAGGGAAACUUCAGGGAGUGGGCAGCAAAGUGGCUGGCUGAGCAGAGCCCCUGCCACUCCUGGUUCUAGUCUCAAAUGUCUACCAGUUAGCUCUGGGGAAGGGCUCUCAUACAAAUUCAAGUGCAAGGGACACAGGCAGUCGAGGGGCUGACAGUCUUUGGGCACCUGGUAUCACCUCUCUUGGACUAUAUGUUCUUGUUUCUUAUUUCCCCGUCUCUAGGAGGCUACAGAGCUGACAUCAACCCUUAACACCUGAGCGCCGAAGUCCUCAAGCCAGUGUCCUCUGUGUGACCACCAGCUCUGGGCCUCCCGAUUUAAACACAGCCAGGGCCAGGGAUUUGGCUCAGUGGUUUUGGCGCCUGCUGCGCAAGCGUGAGAACCCGAGUUCAAUCCCUGGUACCAAAAAAAAAAGAUACAUUUCUUAAACACAGCCAGAAGUCCACACAGGUAGGGGCAUUUCCCAUGAGGGGCUGUGAUCUGGGCAGGGGACUCUCAAGUUUAUCACUCCCUGGGUUAGUCCUGGCCAUCUGUGACAUGCAUAUCUAAUAAGAACAUUGGCAUCAUGUGCUGGGGAGCUGGUGGACUCUAAGCAAAAUGAAUUUUCAUACUGUGUGUGUGAAAAGGUAGCACUGGACUCUGUUAAAGAUCUAGCCCACAGGGAAGUUAAAAUCACUUAAGGAGAUAUAUUGAAUUUAAUGUAAUGCAUCUCAUUAGUAGAGCAAACAGGAAAAAAACUGUGUGAUCAUCUCAGUUAAUACAGAAAAAGGCUGGGCAUGGUGGGGCAAGCCUGUAGUUUCAGCUACUCGGGAGAUAGAAACAGGAAAAUUGCAAAUACAAGCCCAACCUGGGCAACUUAGUAAGAUCUCAUCUCAAAGUAAAAAAUUAAAAGUACUGUAGCUCAGCACUCCCCAGGUUCAGUCCCUAGUACCAAAGAAAAACAAAACAAAACAAAACUGAGAAAGAGCAUCUGACAAUAUCCAACACUUUUUCAUGACAAAAAUAUUCAGUUUCUUCAAUGUGAUAACUCAUACAUGGAGAACUCAACAGCCAACAGACUAUUCCAAGAUGCAAGCCUACAGCUUUUCCUGUAAGGUCAGGAGCAAAACAGGGAUGCCUGCUUUUGCCACAUCAUUUGCAAUACAGAACUGGAAGACCUCACCAGAGCAAGUGGGCAAGACAAAGAUCAAGUACCCAGAAUGGAAAGGAAGAAGUAAAAUGAUCUCUGUUCACAGAUGCCAUGAUCUUAUAUGUAGAAAACCCUGAAGAUUUCACAAAAGCACUGUUACAGCAAAUGAAUUCAGCAGUUUCCGAAUAUAAAAUCACCACACAGAAAUCAGCUGCAUUUCUGUGUACUAACAAUGAAUCACAGAAGGAAAUGAUACUGGGGAAAGAUUCUCAUGCAAGUGCAAGUACAAGAAGGGCCUAGCACAUAUUAGACAAGUGCUCUAUCACUGAGCUGCAUUCCCGGCCCUUUUUAUUUUUGAGAUAGCAUCUUGCUAAAUUGCCCAGGUUGGCAUCAAACUUCCAAUCCUCUUGCUUCAGCCUCCCUGAGUGGCUGGAAUUACGGUUGUGUGUUACUGUGCCCUGAUAAUGGUUCCAUUUAAAAAGCACAAAAAAAUUGUUAGGAAUUAACCAAGGCAGUGAAAGACUUGUACACUGAAAACUACAAAUCAUUGCUAAAAGAAAUAAAAGAAACCUUAAAUAAAUGGAAAAGAAUAUGGUGCUCAUAGAACACCUAAUAUUGUUAAAAUGUCUAUAUCACCCAAAAAAAUCUACAGAUUCAAUUCAGUUCCUAUUAAAAUAUCAGUGUUUUUUUGUUUUGUUUUGUUUUGUUUUUGGGUACCAGGGAUCAAACUUGGGUCCUUGCGCUUGCACAGCAGGCGGCAAAAUCACUGAGCUAAAUCCCUACCCUUCAGUGGUAUUUUUGAAAAAAUA
ensembl:lncRNA